CCUACGGGUGGCAGCAGUGAGGAAUAUUGGUCAAUGGGCGGAAGCCUGAACCAGCCAAGUAGCGUGCAGGAUGACGGCCCUACGGGUUGUAAACUGCUUUUAUACGGGAAUAACGCGCCUUACGUAUAUGUCUUUGCAUGUACCGUAUGAAUAAUGACCGGCUAAUUCCGUGCCAGCAGCCGCGGUACUACAGAAGGUCCGGGCUUUCUCCGGAUUUCUUGGGUUUAAAGGGAGCGUAGGCCGCAUGUCAAGCGUGCUGUGAAAUGUCCGGGCUCAACCCGGGCCUUGCAGCGCGAACUGGCGUGCUUGAGUCCGCGGAAAGCAGGCGGAAUUCGUCGUGUAGCGGUGAAAUGCUUAGAUAUGACGAAGAACCCCGAUUGCGAAGGCAGCUUGCUGCAGCGGAACUGACGCUGAUGCUCGAAAGCGCGGGUAUCGAACAGGAUUAGAUACCCGAGUAGUC
rnacentral:rRNA from 1 species